GACGAACGCUGGCGGCGUGCCUAAUACAUGCAAGUCGAACGCAGUGGGGACGGGUGAGUAACACGUGGGUAACCUCCCAUCAGAGGGGAUAACACUUGGAAACAGGUGCUAAACCGAUACUGAUGGAUGGACCCGCGGUGCAUUAGCUAGUUGGUGAGGUAACGGCUCACCAAGGCCACGAUGCAUAGGGGCACUGAGAGAGUGAGUGGCGACAAUGGGAGUGAGCGAAGGCCCAGACCGCGGCGUGAGGCAGCAGUAGGGAAUCUGCGGCAAUGGACGAAAGGCUGACCGAGCAAAGCGGCGGGAGUCAAGAGGGGUUUCGGAUCGUAAAACGCUGUUGUUAGAGAAGCGGUAUCUAACGAGAAAGCCACGGCUAACUACGUGCCAGCAGCCGCGGUAAUAC
rnacentral:rRNA from 1 species